ACGAGGAGGAGGAGGCGGCGGUGGUGGAGGCGGCGGCCAUGAGGAUGAAUGGUCGUGGGACAUGCAGGCUUUGCCUGUGCAGAGACUUGCUAUGUGCUCGCUGUGCGAAGAGCUUCCUAGGGCCUGGAGCUGCAACUGCGGCAAGGUAGGACGCUGCUUGAGGUGGGCGGCCUCGACCUGGAGAGGGUGAUUAGGUGUCAUGUGUGCGGGAGGGGCGAUACUAUCGCCGUGGGGCAAGUGAUUGAGGGGGAAGAGGGUAGUGUGACUUUGGUGGUGAUGAGGCCAGCCGUCGCCAUGGGCUCAGCUGCCACGGCCGUUGCUCGUGUCGGAGCACCGCCAUCUUCCCCCGCCCUUCCUCUUCGUCGACCUAUCUGGUUUGUGGUUCACAGAGAACGUGGGGCAGCGCUGUCAUCGAGACUGGUUGGUUUAUACAUACGAGGCAGAGGGGUUGAGGGUUGUUUUUGUGUACGAUGGGUCGCCGGGAUCCGGAUUCGACCGGGUCGCUGCUUACCUCAGGCAUCAGUGAACUUUUCGCAUCUUUUAAUUGUUUUUACCACCAAGUACUCUAUGGAUAAAUGUCUAAUACCACCAAAUCCUGACGACAGCGCUGUCCCAUGUUCUCUGUGAACCACAAACCAGAUAGGUUGACGAAGAGGAAGGACGGGGGAAGAUGGCGGUGCUCCGACACGAACAAUGAC